rnacentral:rRNA from 1 species
GGAUAACUUACCCUUUAGGACUGGGAUAACUCUGGGAAACUGGGGAUAAUACUGGAUAUUUGGCUAUGCCUGGAAUGGUUUGCCUUUGAAAUGUUUUCUUUUUCGCCUAAGGAUAGAUCUGCGGCUGAUUAGGUCGUUGGUGGGGUAAUGGCCCACCAAGCCGAUGAUCGGUACGGGUUGUGAGAGCAAGAGCCCGGAGAUGGAACCUGAGACAAGGUUCCAGACCCCACGGGGUGCAGCAGGCGCGAAACCUCCGCAAUGUACGAAAGUGCGACGGGGGGAUCCCAAGUGUUAUGCUUUUUUUGUAUAACUUUUCAUUAGUGUAAAAAGCUUUUAGAAUAAGAGCUAGGCAAGACCGGUGCCAGCCGCCGCGGUAACACCGGCAGCUCGAGUGGUAGCUGUUUUUAUUGGGCCUAAAGCGUUCGUAGCCGGUUUGAUAAGUCUUUGGUGAAAGCUUGUAGCUUAACUAUAAGAAUUGCUGGAGAUACUAUUAGACUUGAAGUCGGGAGAGGUUAGAGGUACUACCGGGGUAGGGGUGAAAUCCUAUAAUCCUGGGAGGACCACCUGUGGCGAAGGCGUCUAACUGGAACGAUCUUGACGGUGAGUAACGAAAGCCAGGGGCGCGAACCGGAUUAGAUACCCGGGUAGUCCUGGCCGUAAACGAUGUAGACUUGGUGUUGGAAUGGCUUUGGGUUGUUCCGGUGCCGAAGGGAAGCUGUUAAGUCUACCGCCUGGGAAGUACGGUCGCAAGACUGAAACUUAA